rnacentral:SRP_RNA from 1 species
GCUGGGCAUGGUGGCGCAUGCCUGUAAUCCCAGCUACUUGGGAAGCUGAGGCAGGAGAAUUGCUUGAAUCCAGGAAGUGGAGGUUGCAGUGAGCCGAGAUUGUACCACGGUACUCCAGCCUGGGCAACAGAGUGAGACUCUGUCUCAA